rnacentral:lncRNA from 1 species
GAUGUUCUUUUUGAAUAAUGAAAUUAUCAUUCAUCAUAUGAUGACUCUGAUGAACUAUUUGAUGAUGGUUGGGUUGACCGAGCCAUCUUCGGACCUGAUCACUCAUUAGGUAGAAUCACUGAGUAGGUUCAUGUUAAUGGUUUGACCUAAUCGAAACUUUUAGUGGAGGCCCAUCACCUACUAAAAUGAAAUUUGGGACUAAAUUAAAUACUAGAAGUUGUUUGGAGAAAUAAUUAGUUGAAAACCUACCCAUAGGUGCAUAUGGAUUGACCGAGCC